rnacentral:tRNA from 1 species
CCCGCCUUAGCUCAGUGGUAGAGCGCGGGACUGUAGUCUGCCCUGCCCCUGCAGGGGGGCAGUGAUCCCGUGGUCCCCGGUUCAAAUCCGGGAGGCGGGA